AACGUAGGUUCCGAGCGUUAUCCGGAUUUACUGGGCGUAAAGCGCGUUCAGGCGGUUUGGCAAGUCGGGCAUGAAAUCUCUCGGCUCAACCGGGAGAGGUUGUCCGAUACUGCUGGACUUGAGGGCAGUAGAGGGUGGUGGAAUUCCGGGUGUAGUGGUGAAAUGCGUGAGAUAUCCGGAGGAACACCAGUGGCGAAGGCGGUUCUCUGGGCCUUACCUGACGCUGAGGAGCGAAAGCGUGGGGAGC
rnacentral:rRNA from 1 species